rnacentral:rRNA from 1 species
GACGAACGCUGGCGGCGUGCUUAACACAUGCAAGUCGAACGGAAAGGCCCUGCUUGCAGGGUACUCGAGUGGCGAACGGGUGAGUAACACGUGGGUGAUCUGCCCUGCACUUCGGGAUAAGCCUGGGAAACUGGGUCUAAUACCGGAUAGUAGCCAUUUUUAGUGUGAUGGUUGGAAAGUUUUUUCGGUGUAGGAUGAGCUCGCGGCCUAUCAGCUUGUUGGUGGGGUAAUGGCCUACCAAGGCGGCGACGGGUAGCCGGCCUGAGAGGGUGGACGGCCACAUUGGGACUGAGAUACGGCCCAGACUCCUACGGGAGGCAGCAGUGGGGAAUAUUGCACAAUGGGCGCAAGCCUGAUGCAGCGACGCCGCGUGGGGGAUGACGGCCUUCGGGUUGUAAACUCCUUUCGCUAGGAACGAAGCUUUUUGUGACGGUACCUAGAUAAGAAGCACCGGCUAACUACGUG